CAUUAUACAAAUAAUGAAUGUUUAUUCGUGCAAUGGUAAGAAUAUUUUCAUUCGGUGAAAGAUGGAAUGUUCCAUUCAACGAGGCGACAGCCGAAUUGAAUGGAACAUUCCAUCAUCACCGAAUGAAAAUAUUCUUACCAUUGCACGAAUAAACAUUCAUUAUUUGUUUUAUA